rnacentral:rRNA from 1 species
UACGAAGGGGGCUAGCGUUGCUCGGAAUUACUGGGCGUAAAGCGUGCGCAGGCGGUUCGUUGUGUCGGUGGUGAAAGCCCCGGGCUCAACCUGGGAAUGGCCAUGGAAACUGGCGAACUGGAGUGUGGCAGAGGGGGGUGGAAUUCCGCGUGUAGCAGUGAAAUGCGUAGAGAUGCGGAGGAACACCGAUGGCGAAGGCAGCCCCCUGGGCUAGCACUGACGCUCAGGCACGAAAGCGUGGGGAGCAAACAGG